CCUACGGGUGGCAGCAGUCGGGAAUAUUGCGCAAUGGAGGAAACUCUGACGCAGUGACGCCGCGUGCAGGAAGAAGGUUUUCGGAUUGUAAACUGCUUUAGACAGGGAAGAACGGUCACUGUGCUAAUCAGCAGUGAAUUGACGGUACCUGCAAAGGAAGCACCGGCUAACUCCGUGCCAGCAGCCGCGGUAAUACGGAGGGUGCGAGCGUUAAUCGGAAUUACUGGGCGUAAAGCGCUCGUAGGCGGUAUGUCAAGUCAAGGGUGAAAUCCCCGCGCUCAACGUGGGAACUGCCUUUGAAACUGGCAAACUGGAGUGUGUGAGAGGGUAGUGGAAUUCCAGGUGUAGGAGUGAAAUCCGUAGAUAUCUGGAGGAACAUCAGUGGCGAAGGCGACUAUCUGACACAUAACUGACGCUGAGGAGCGAAAGCGUGGGUAGCAAACAGGAUUAGAUACCCGAGUAGUC
rnacentral:rRNA from 1 species